rnacentral:rRNA from 1 species
AGAGUUUGAUCCUGGCUCAGGAUGAACGCUAGCGGCAGGCUUAACACAUGCAAGUCGAGGGGCAGCAUAAUGGAUAGCAAUAUCUAUGGUGGCGACCGGCGCACGGGUGCGUAACGCGUAUGCAACCUACCUUUAACAGGGGGAUAACACUGAGAAAUUGGUACUAAUACCCCAUAAUAUCAUAGAAGGCAUCUUUUAUGGUUGAAAAUUCCGAUGGUUAGAGAUGGGCAUGCGUUGUAUUAGCUAGUUGGUGAGGUAACGGCUCACCAAGGCGACGAUACAUAGGGGGACUGAGAGGUUAACCCCCCACAUUGGUACUGAGACACGGACCAAACUCCUACGGGAGGCAGCAGUGAGGAAUAUUGGUCAAUGGACGCAAGUCUGAACCAGCCAUGCCGCGUGCAGGAUGACGGCUCUAUGAGUUGUAAACUGCUUUUGUACGAGGGUAAACGCAGAUACGUGUAUCUGUCUGAAAGUAUCGUACGAAUAAGGAUCGGCUAACUCCGUGCCAGCAGCCGCGGUAAUACGGAGGAUUCAAGCGUUAUCCGGAUUUAUUGGGUUUAAAGGGUGCGUAGGCGGUUUGAUAAGUUAGAGGUGAAAUGUUAGGGCUCAACCCUGAAACUGCCUCUAAUACUGUUGGACUAGAGAGUAGUUGCGGUAGGCGGAAUGUAUGGUGUAGCGGUGAAAUGCUUAGAGAUCAUACAGAACACCGAUUGCGAAGGCAGCUUACCAAACUAUAUCUGACGUUGAGGCACGAAAGCGUGGGGAGCAAACAGGAUUAGAUACCCUGGUAGUCCACGCAGUAAACGAUGAUAACUCGUUGUCGGCGAUACACAGUCGGUGACUAAGCGAAAGCGAUAAGUUAUCCACCUGGGGAGUACGUUCGCAAGAAUGAAACUCAAAGGAAUUGACGGGGGCCCGCACAAGCGGAGGAACAUGUG